AUUGAACGCUGGCGGAAUGCUUUACACAUGCAAGUCGAGCGGCAGCGCGGGGGCAACCCUGGCGGCGAGCGGCGAACGGGUGAGUAACACAUCGGAACGUACCCAGUUGUGGGGGAUAGCGCGGCGAAAGCCGGAUUAAUACCGCAUACGACCUGAGGGUGAAAGGGGGGGAGCGCAAGACCUCUCGCAGUUGGAGCGGCCGAUGGCGGAUUAGCUAGUUGGUGAGGUAAAGGCUCACCAAGGCGACGAUCUGUAGCUGGUCUGAGAGGAUGAUCAGCCACACUGGGACUGAGACACGGCCCAGACUCCUACGGGAGGCAGCAGUGGGGAAUUUUGGACAAUGGGGGCAACCCUGAUCCAGCCAUGCCGCGUGAGUGAAGAAGGCCUUCGGGUUGUAAAGCUCUUUCGCAAGGGAAGAAAACUUAGUUCUUAAUACGAGCUGAGGAUGACGGUACCUUGAUAAGAAGCACCGGCAAACUCUGUGCCAGCAGCCGCGGUAACAC
rnacentral:rRNA from 1 species